GUUUGAUACCUGGCUCAGAUUGAACGCUGGCGGAAUGCUUUACACAUGCAAGUCGAGCGGCAGCGCGGGGCAACCUGGCGGCGAGCGGCGAACGGGUGAGUAAUACAUCGGAACGUGCCCAGACGUGGGGGAUAACUACUCGAAAGAGUGGCUAAUACCGCAUACGAUCUACGGAUGAAAGCGGGGAUCGCAAGACCUCGCGCGUCUGGAGCGGCUGAUGGCAGAUUAGGUAGUUGGUGGGAUAAAAGCCUACCAAGCCAACGAUCUGUAGCUGGUCUGAGAGGAUGAUCAGCCACACUGGGACUGAGACACGGCCCAGACUCCUACGGGAGGCAGCAGUGGGGAAUUUUGGACAAUGGGCGAAAGCCUGAUCCAGCCAUUCCGCGUGCAGGAUGAAGGCCCUCGGGUUGUAACUAGC
rnacentral:rRNA from 1 species